GAUGAACGCUGGCGGCGUGCUUAACACAUGCAAGUCGAACGGAAAGGCCCAAGCUUGCUUGGGUACUCGAGUGGCGAACGGGUGAGUAACACGUGGGUGAUCUGCCCUGCACUUCGGGAUAAGCCUGGGAAACUGGGUCUAAUACCGGAUAGGACCACAUCUUGGAUGGUGUGGUGGAAAGUUUUUCGGUGUGGGAUGAGCUCGCGGCCUAUCAGCUUGUUGGUGGGGUAAUGGCCUACCAAGGCGUCGACGGGUAGCCGGCCUGAGAGGGUGUACGGCCACAUUGGGACUGAGAUACGGCCCAGACUCCUACGGGAGGCAGCAGUGGGGAAUAUUGCACAAUGGGCGCAAGCCUGAUGCAGCGACGCCGCGUGGGGGAUGACGGCCUUCGGGUUGUAAACUCCUUUCGCUAGGGACGAAGCGUUAUGUGACGGUACCUGGAGAAGAAGCACCGGCUAACUACGUG
rnacentral:rRNA from 1 species